rnacentral:rRNA from 1 species
AUUGAACGCUGGCGGCAUGCCUUACACAUGCAAGUCGAACGGCAGCACGGGUGCUUGCACCUGGUGGCGAGUGGCGAACGGGUGAGUAAUACAUCGGAACAUGUCCUGUAGUGGGGGAUAGCCCGGCGAAAGCCGGAUUAAUACCGCAUACGAUCUACGGCUGAAAGCGGGGGACCUUCGGGCCUCGCGCUAUAGGGUUGGCCGAUGGCUGAUUAGCUAGUUGGUGGGGUAAAGGCCUACCAAGGCGACGAUCAGUAGCUGGUCUGAGAGGACGACCAGCCACACUGGGACUGAGACACGGCCCAGACUCCUACGGGAGGCAGCAGUGGGGAAUUUUGGACAAUGGGCGAAAGCCUGAUCCAGCAAUGCCGCGUGUGUGAAGAAGGCCUUCGGGUUGUAAAGCACUUUUGUCCGGAAAGAAAUCCUUGGCCCUAAUACGGUCGGGGGAUGACGGUACCGGAAGAAGAAGCACCGGCUAACUACGU